UUGUGUUCUACUCACCUCUGGCUGAUACUCAACUGACUCUGGAGCAGCUAACUCACUGCUGAUUACCUCGGUUCCUCAGGUCCGAUCCUACACAGGUGGACACAAAUGAGGGACCAAACAUACUCUAUGAUGUAAACACGACCAACAACACCAAAAAUGAUGAGCUAGCAUUGCCUCAAGGACCAAUUACAAGGCUGAGAUCCAAGAGGUUGAAGGAAGCACUUCAAGGAUUCAU
rnacentral:lncRNA from 1 species